AGAAUUUUGAAACAGAGGGUAAAAAAUAAUACACAAACCAGGUAGAUAGAUUAUAUAUAAUAUAUAUAACACAGAGAUAGAUAGAUAGAUAGAUAGAUAGAUAGAUAGAUAGAUAGAUAGAUAGGUCAACUGCUCGCCCCUCCACUAGGUAACAUGCAGUUAAGGCAGAGCUGCAUACAACAGAUGUUAGGGAUACUCAGGUGAGAAUCUCAGGCUUUGCUCCAUCCAUCUAUGCUGGGGUGUAAGCUGUCAACAAGUUUAGCUGGGAUGAUGCUUUGCAAGAGGGCACAGCUGAAUGCCCUAAGAUGGUAGAUGCUUGGCUCAAAGGAGACACUACAGCUCUGCAUCAAGGCAAACUAACUGAGAUGAGGGCCUUUAUUUUCCAGAUCUGUAUCCUGGAGCAUCAUUCACCUGUUACUACACUGAAAACAUUUGGUGUUGGUUUCAUGGCAGAUGACAGGCAGUGAGAGAAGUACAGCAGCGGACUGCUAGAGGUGUAUGGCAUAUAUCGAACUGCUUUGGACUGACUACAGCAGCUAUGAUUUUUUCUUGUUCUAGCAGAGGUAUGGUUUUGCCAGCUACAGAUAGUUUCUGUGAUUGUGUGACAUUUGGAAUUCUGGAAACUUUUCAGAUGGUAUAUAAAUAUUAGAGCCCCAAUAGGCAGAGUUGAUGAUUGUUGGUCAUUCAGGGGUAUUGGUUGUGGUUAGUAGUCUUGCUUGAAGAAGAAACAAGAACAAAUUAGAUUCAGAGAUCUCUAUAUCUCUCUCUAUCUUCCUUUCUGUCCUAUCUAGUAAUAGGGGGUAAAACCAGGAUGAUAAAGGGUUGGGGGAACCCACAAAGUAACAAAGACUGGCUACAAGUGGCACCCAACUUGGAACUCAAAAUUGCCAUAGAGGAAGCAGCAGGGGAUGAAGGAAUGGAUUGUGGCUGUUGUUGCUGGGAUAUUCCUCACUUUGCUCCCAGAGGGGAUUUUUCUGAGGUUUUGUUGUUUUGCUUUGCUUUGCUUUGGUUUUCUUCUACAUAUUCUGUUUUUUAAGUAAGUUGAAAUAAUAGCCGAGAAGCUGGAAAAGUUUGGUGUGGAAAUGGAGCAGCCUGAGAAACAAACAAUGUAUGAAAUGGGAAAACUAAAGGGGCCACUCUUCUCUCUUUUCUGAAAGGCUUGCAGACUUGGUGGUGCACCUGGAGAGUUUAUGGAUGGAGAUGGAAGCUCUUAGGAGACAAGAAGCAUGGAAAAAGAGAACAAAGGCUCAGUCCCAGUGACUGAAGAGAGCAGGAGUUUUCCAAAGAAGGUGCAUGGGAGGGCCACUGGUCAGAAAAAAAAGGCUGAAAAAUACCAAAGGACAAUGUGCUGAAAUAGCCCAUUUCAAGAGAAAGGGUUCAUCUCAAACCAGCAUUCUGACAGAGUGGAAGGAGGGGUGGCUCAGGGUUAUGAGAUCACCAUCAGCUUUUCCAGUUUUCCCAUAUAGCAUAUGCCUGCUAAUGGUAUGGAACAAGAGUAAGGCAAAAUAGGAUGGUGUCCUAUAGAAAUGAUAGCUCUAAGGUGUUUUUAAAAGGCCUUGAUUUCAUAUGGAAUGCACUCUCCUUAUGUGGAACGGAUAUUAAAUAACCGGGGUACACAAACUAGAAUCCCUUCCCAAGAUUGGAAGGGAUUGGUAACAGCUGUACUAGAGACUGUCAGCCGUUGCAAUGGUUAACAUGCUGGAGGAAAGAAGCUGUGAACAUUGAACAGUAAAACAGAGCAAGGGGUAUUAAUAUAGUGAACGAACAGCUGCUAGGUGAAGGGCGGUACUCUAGUGUACAAGCACAGACUCGGUGUCAUGAAACUACUAUAGAACAAGGUUGCCUCAGUGGCUAUAACACCUUGGGACAAAGGAGGAGCCAGGAAAAAGUCCAGUUCAUUUACAAAGAUUAUAUAAGGCUCUGGAGAAGCCUUCACUGAUUUUUUUUUUUACAAAGAUUAGUCUCAGCUAUGAACAAAGCCAUAUCAGACCCUGACACAAGGCAGGUGUUGAUAGAGACCUUGGUGUAUGACAAUGCAAAUACCAAAUAUAAAAAUGUCAUUAGACUUUUAAAGGCACAAGUAAUGCCUAUGGAUGAGUGGAUAAGGGAUAAGACCAAUAUUAGUUCUAAUGUGUACUGUGCUAAUAUCAUUGAUCAAGCUAUAGCUAGAGAUCUCUGAUGUCAAAAUGCCUUGUGCUUCAGUUGCAGCAAAUACAGUAAUUUGCAAGGA